rnacentral:rRNA from 1 species
CUUUCCUCCUCGCUGAAAGUGCUUUACAACCCGAAGGCCUUCUUCACACACGCGGCAUGGCUGCAUCAGGGUUGCCCCCAUUGUGCAAUAUUCCCCACUGCUGCCUCCCGUAGGAGUCUGGACCGUGUCUCAGUUCCAGUGUGGCUGAUCAUCCUCUCAGACCAGCUAGGGAUCGUCGCCUUGGUGAGCCAUUACCUCACCAACUAGCUAAUCCCACCUGGGC